rnacentral:rRNA from 1 species
GACGAACGCUGGCGGCGUGCUUAACACAUGCAAGUCGAACGGAAAGGCCCUGCUUUUGUGGGGUGCUCGAGUGGCGAACGGGUGAGUAACACGUGAGUAACCUGCCCUUGACUUUGGGAUAACUUCAGGAAACUGGGGCUAAUACCGGAUAGGAGCUCCUGCUGCAUGGUGGGGGUUGGAAAGUUUCGGCGGUUGUGGAUGGACUCGCGGCUUAUCAGCUUGUUGGUGGGGUAGUGGCUUACCAAGGCUUUGACGGGUAGCCGGCCUGAGAGGGUGACCGGCCACAUUGGGACUGAGAUACGGCACAGACUCCUACGGGAGGGAGCAGUGGGGAAUAUUGCACAAUGGGCGGAAGCCUGAUGCAGCAACGCCGCGUGCGGGAUGACGGCCUUCGGGUUGUAAACCGCUUUCGCCUGUGACGAAGCGUGAGUGACGGUAAUGGGUAAAGAAGCACCGGCUAACUACGUG